AUAUAUAUAUAUAUAUAUAUAUAUAUAUAUAUUGUAAUAAGCAAAAAAAGCAUUGCCCCGUGAAUUUUUGUGAUCUUUAGAUUGCAGCAGAAACUCCAUCUCCACCAAUUUUGAUUGCAGUCACAGUAUAGUAGAGCAGUACCGAUGCUGAAGGAUAAUCCUGUACACAAGUAAAGGUGUUAUCAUAUUAGAAGCAAUAUGAUGUUAUCCAAGAACAAAUGGCCGUACAUACUGUAUACCCUCCAGUGGUUUAGUCACUUACCCUUAUUUUCAUCACCAUUGUCGUCAUCUGUUUUAUGGUCAUUAUUCAUGCAUGUGUAGUUUAAUUGUUAUUUCCUGAUGGCAUGGUUUCCCUGUUACAGAGUGGGUACUGUACUGGGAAUUAUUUGAGGGACUUGUGAGUACCCUCUUAGCUGGCAAGACAGGGUUGCUACUCCCUGAGGUAAUGAAAGAUUACUCACAUAUGAGUGAAUGUCAAAGAUUAACUAGGAUAAUACACCUUGAAUUAUCAUGAUAAUAAAAAAACUUGUUUUCAAGUUAAUGGGAUUCGUGUUGACAGUAUACCGUACUGUGUUUAAUAGGCAAUCCAGUCAAGUCUUAAAGUCAAAGCUUUCUUUAGCAUUAACACUGCCAAUAGUGUUGUAAGCUUCAUUUAUUGUAUCAUCCCAUGUCUGUACUGUAUUGUGUUUAUAUUAUUCCUUUUAUUUCAAUAAUACCUUUUCCCCGCUAUACUUCAGUAUUGUACUAACGUAGGCUCUCCAUUUAGUAUCUCUCUAUUUGCCAUAAUAUGUAUUCUGCAACAAGAAGAAUCAGAAUGCUUCCACUUUGGAAAAUUAAACCGUGUAAGUUCUGGAUUCCCACUGUUGGACAAUUAUUAUCUUCAGCACCAUAUAGAUCAUCUACCCAUUCCUCGGCUGCUUCUCAUCAGUUUACAGUAAAAAUAACAUUCAUGUUGAAUUUCUCCACUAAUUUGUGUUGCAAUAUUUUUCUGUUCCCCCGCACUUCAUAUACUGUACUGUACUGUGUAUAAAAGUUGAGGAGGAGAAUAUGAGGAAGUGUGUGUGUGGAGUAUCUUUAAUUGUUGUUUCAGCCCUAUUCUCCCGCUUUCUACAUUUGUCUUUCACUAUGUUGUUUUACCAUUUCACUCCUUUCUUAAGACGUCGUAAUAGCCAUCAACAUAUUACUCACUAUAAAGAAUUCAAGAAUAUUUGUAUUUAUUUUGCAUUAUUAACUCAUUUGUAUUGAUGUCGAGAGAGAGGAACUACUGUGCAUCAUUGAUAUUUCAGUGGACAGAUAAUUGGUGAAGAUAGAGUUACGGAGAAGAGGAUUGUUGGACAGACUUUAAAAUAAUUCCUACAGUGCAUCAGAUGUAGACAAUGGCAUAAAAUUUUUUUAAAUAGUUGUUAAUAUCAAAGUGUAUUGUGUACUGUAUAUGUUAAAAUCUUAAGAAUAAUUUAACUGAAGAUGUAGCCAUCCUCCAUUGAAAUUUUCAAUACUGUAUCUAGUUGCCUGAAGAUGUUGUCAUACUUCUUAUCUUCAAUUCACUGUUAAGAUUUCCCUUGUAUAAAUUACUUCUUUUAUCAUAUUACAGUGAAACCUCCAUAUAAUCCCUUAGAUGGAUGUUUCAUAUCUAACAGACCCUUGAUAUAAUGGACUUUCCUCUCCAUAUAGUCUAUUAAAUCCUGUAGAGGUUUUACAAUAUACACUGUUCCUUUUACUUUGUACUGUACUGUACUGUACUUUACUUCAUUUGUAAGAUGGGAUACUAGAAAUUGUGUACAGCAUGGAGUAUUUUUUGCCCGUUUCACUCCCUUCUUGUAACUUCGUACACUUCUCUUCCUCUUCUCACUCUUAUAUCAUUUUACUCCUUUUUGUGGUUUCUGGUCUCUCCUGGACAUAAUGAGAGAGGAGUAAAGGUGAUAUACUGUACAGUAGGUAAAUAAGAUAUUCCUCACACUACACAGUUAUGAAAUUCACUCCCAGCUCUACGGUAGAUGUUAAAGUGUAGGGCUUAUCAAACAACCCGUAAAAUGCACCAAUUGAUCCUUUAUCUUCCACAAAUUGCAGGACCAACAGGGCACAGGUCUGGGAGCAUCAUUAGAUGUAUUGGUUCUGUCAUCUGCUUCUCUCUUUUUUUCUACUCUGUAUUUUACAAAAUAUAUUAAAAGAAAAGCUGUGUUUCAAGCAUUAUAAUAUUUUAAGGUGUGUUCAAACAAUUUAAAUUAUACAGUAUAACUGUACUCUUUAUGUAAUGUUACAAUAAAUAUGGAUAAGGAUAUUCUGCAGUUCUCUAUAUGGACACAACAAUUUUGUACAAAUUUGCAUUUUGUUUUCUUUACAUUUAUUAACAUAUAAUUAUUAGACUGACUUCUGAUUACACAUCUGUACUGUACGUACAAAGAUUUCUAGCCACAAAUCCUUUUAUAUUUUGUUUUGUUACUGUGAUUCUUAUUAGCCAUAGCAUUGUUACAGAUUGAAUUGUGAAUACACAUCCAUUCAAGUCUUUUUAUAAUUAUUAGAUAGUGUUUUUUUUUUUUGUUUAUUGGCAUUAAACUUAACCAAAGAGAGAUGUAGUGUUUGUGAAUAAAAACUUUAAGUUUAUGAGGUUUGUCACAUGUGGUGACAAUAAAUGAGUUGCUAGUCUUUUGUAUCUGAAAGCCUAUUGAUAUGUUUCAUAGCAAACAGUUUUGGUGCAGACUUGUUACAGUAUUUUGUAGAUGAUGAUCAUCAUUAUUGUAAAUACCUGUACAGGUAAUGAUGGAACAUAAGUUCAUGUUAGAAGUCUUUUUUUCUGAACUUUUGUGUACUAACUCUCGUGCUUCUUCAUGAAGGCCUGUCCUAACAAAGUGACAUCGGUAGGAUGUAUUGAAUAGUGACAGGAAGAACUGUUAUAUUUAAUAAAAAAAAUAAGUCAUUA